UAGCAAAGACAAACUAUGUUCAUUCCUGCU
rnacentral:piRNA from 1 species